AUGCAGUCGAGCGGACAGAUGGGAGCUUGCUCCCUGAUGUUAGCGGCGGACGGGUGAGUAACACGUGGGUAACCUGCCUGUAAGACUGGGAUAACUCCGGGAAACCGGGGCUAAUACCGGAUGGUUGUCUGAACCGCAUGGUUCAGACAUAAAAGGUGGCUUCGGCUACCACUUACAGAUGGACCCGCGGCGCAUUAGCUAGUUGGUGAGGUAACGGCUCACCAAGGCGACGAUGCGUAGCCGACCUGAGAGGGUGAUCGGCCACACUGGGACUGAGACACGGCCCAGACUCCUACGGGAGGCAGCAGUAGGGAAUCUUCCGCAAUGGACGAAAGUCUGACGGAGCAACGCCGCGUGAGUGAUGAAGGUUUUCGGAUCGUAAAGCUCUGUUGUUAGGGAAGAACAAGUGCCGUUCAAAUAGGGCGGCACCUUGACGGUACCUAACCAGAAAGCCACGGCUAACUACGUGCCAGCAGCCGCGGUAAUACGUAGGUGGCAAGCGUUGUCCGGAAUUAUUGGGCGUAAAGGGCUCGCAGGCGGUUUCUUAAGUCUGAUGUGAAAGCCCCCGGCUCAACCGGGGAGGGUCAUUGGAAACUGGGGAACUUGAGUGCAGAAGAGGAGAGUGGAAUUCCACGUGUAGCGGUGAAAUGCGUAGAGAUGUGGAGGAACACCAGUGGCGAAGGCGACUCUCUGGUCUGUAACUGACGCUGAGGAGCGAAAGCGUGGGGAGCGAACAGGAUUAGAUACCCUGGUAGUCCACGCCGUAAACGAUGAGUGCUAAGUGUUAGGGGGUUUCCGCCCCUUAGUGCUGCAGCUAACGCAUUAAGCACUCCGCCUGGGGGAGUACGGUCGCAAGACUGAAACUCAAAGGAAUUGACGGGGGCCCGCACAAGCGGUGGAGCAUGUGGUUUAAUUCGAAGCAACGCGAAGAACCUUACCAGGUCUUGACAUCCUCUGACAAUCCUAGAGAUAGGACGUCCCCUUCGGGGGCAGAGUGACAGGUGGUGCAUGGUUGUCGUCAGCUCGUGUCGUGAGAUGUUGGGGUUAAGUCCCGCAACGAAGCGCAACCCU
rnacentral:rRNA from 1 species